rnacentral:tRNA from 1 species
GGACCCGUAGCUCAGCUGGAUAGAGCGCUGCCCUCCGAAGGCAGAGGUCACAGGUUCGAAUCCUGUCGGGUCCG